rnacentral:misc_RNA from 1 species
CGAUCAAACCCAACUCUCAUUUUCACAAUCCUCCAUCGCCCUCUCCAAGCAAACUGCGAAACCCUCUCAGAGAAUCCAAUAACUUUUAUCUUUUUAUCACAAUUUAGGUGUUUGACAGCUGAUUUAAGACUCUAGUGGCUGUGCCUUUGCGUUUCAUUUAGGAAUUUUCACAAACACCUGUAAAAUGCAUGCCAAGACAGACUCCGAAGUCACCAGUCUCGCCCCAUCUUCUCCCACAAGAUCUCCACGCCGUCCAGUCUACUAUGUACAGAGCCCAUCACGGGAUUCUCACGAUGGAGAGAAAACAGCCACGUCGUUCCACUCCACGCCGGUGCUUAGCCCCAUGGGAUCUCCACCUCAUUCUCACUCCUCCAUUGGCCGCCACUCACGUGAGUCCUCCUCUAGCAGGUUUUCUGGGUCUUUGAAACCCGGAUCGCGUAAGAUCUCUCCCAACGAUGGAUCUAGGAGUGGUCAGAAAAAGGGACAGAAGCAAUGGAAGGAGUGUGCGGUGAUUGAAGAAGAAGGGCUUCUUGAAGAUGAAGAGCGUGAAAGGGGUAUUCCUCGUCGCUGCUAUAUUCUUGCUUUUGUUCUAGGUUUCUUCGUUCUCUUCUCUAUGUUCUCUUUAAUUCUUUGGGGUGCCAGCAAGCCACAGAAGCCCAAGAUCACAAUGAAGGUACUUAUACUACAGUCUAGUCCGAAAUUUCUUAUGAAUUCUGGGGUUUUGGUUGAUUUUGCUUUAUUUUUUGCAGAGUAUAACAUUUGAACAUUUCACCAUUCAAGCGGGCUCAGAUUCCACAGGAGUCGCAACUGAUAUGAUCUCAGUCAACUCCACAGUGAAGAUGAUUUAUCGUAACACAGGAACAUUUUUCGGAGUCCAUGUAACAUCCACACCUGUAGAUCUAUCCUAUUCUGAGAUCACCAUAGCCUCAGGAAACUUGAAGAAGUUUUACCAAUCAAGAAAGAGCCAAAGAUCGGUGGCAAUAUCUGUAAUGAGCAAUAAAAUCCCUCUGUAUGGAAGUGGAGCAGAGCUGAGCAGUUCAACGGGGACAACCACACUACCUGUGCCUCUAAAAUUGAACUUCACUGUGAGAUCAAGAGCUUACGUUUUGGGAAAACUGGUUAAGCCAAAAUUCAACAAAAGAAUCGAAUGUGAUGUUACUUUUGAUGCAAAGAAGCUCAAUGUCCCAAUCUCGCUCAAGAAUUCUUGCACCUAUGAUUGAUUGAUUGAUGAUAUGAGCAGCCGAUCAAGAUGAUGAAUUUUACAUUUUGAAUUCCCUUUAAUUAAUUUUUUGUAUCUAUUCAUGGAAUUGAGGGACAGCUACGCUUUGAAUGUGGGUAGGCAAGGACUGGGUCCUGGACUUCUCGGUUGCCCAAUUGCCCCAUAGGGUGUGGAAACAGGCUGGAAUGGAUUCGGUAGUGACUUGCCAGUGGUAACUUUUCUUUCUAUACAUAUAAAUAUUUUGUUUAUUAAUGUAAAAGCAAGAAAUGAUUUAUCCAAUUAUUACUAUUUCACAUCAUUCUUUGUGAAUUUGUACUUGUUGGUGUCAUGUAAUGUAAUAAUAUUAUUCAUAAAUUUAUAAAAUUUUCUGAAACAGGAUGGCACCUUGAUUAUGAUUUUUAUGUAACCUAC